GCAAUGCCCGCAAGGGUGACAAUGCGACGUCGCGUGAGUGAUGAAGGCCUUCGGGUUGUAAAGCUCUGUCAGCCCGGAUGAAAGCGAGGAGGACAAUACCCUUCUCGUCUGACGGUACGGGCAGAGGAAGCUACGGCUAACUCCGUGCCAGCAGCCGCGGUAAUACGGAGGUAGCGAGUGUUGUUCGGAUUUAC
rnacentral:rRNA from 1 species